UACGUAGGGGGCAAGCGUUGUCCGGAUUUAUUGGGCGUAAAGAGCGUGUAGGCGGUUUGGUAGGUCCGUUGUGAAAACUCGAGGCUCAACCUCGAGACGCCGAUGGAAACCAUCAGACUAGAGUCCGGAAGAGGAGAGUGGAAUUCCUGGUGUAGCGGUGAAAUGCGCAGAUAUCAGGAAGGACACCCGUGGCUAAGGCGGCUCUCUAGUACGGUACUGACGCUGAGGAGCGAAAGCAUGGGGAGCGAACAGG
rnacentral:rRNA from 1 species